GACAGAGGGGGCAAGCGUUGCUCGGAAUUACUGGGCGUAAAGGGCGCGUAGGCGGGAUGGCAAGUCGGUCGUGAAAUCCCUCGGCUCAACCGAGGAACGUCGAUCGAUACUGCUGUUCUUGAGGAUUGCAGAGGAGACUGGAAUUCCCGGUGUAGCAGUGAAAUGCGUAGAGAUCGGGAGGAACAUCAGUUGCGAAGGCGGCUCUCUGGACCAGCACUGACACUGAGGAGCGAAAGCCAGGGGAGCAAACGGG
rnacentral:rRNA from 1 species